rnacentral:rRNA from 1 species
CCUACGGGGGGCAGCAGUGAGGAAUAUUGGUCAAUGGGCGGGAGCCUGAACCAGCCAAGUCGCGUGAGGGAAGACGGUCCUACGGAUUGUAAACCUCUUUUGCCGGGGAGCAACGGGGUCCUUGCGAGGGCCCGAUGAGAGUACCCGGAGAAAAAGCAUCGGCUAACUCCGUGCCAGCAGCCGCGGUAAUACGUAGGGUGCGAGCGUUAAUCGGAAUUACUGGGCGUAAAGGGUGCGCAGGCGGUUGAGUAAGACAGAUGUGAAAUCCCCGAGCUUAACUCGGGAAUGGCAUAUGUGACUGCUCGACUAGAGUGUGUCAGAGGGAGGUGGAAUUCCACGUGUAGCAGUGAAAUGCGUAGAUAUGUGGAAGAACACCGAUGGCGAAGGCAGCCUCCUGGGACAUAACUGACGCUCAGGCACGAAAGCGUGGGGAGCAAACAGGAUUAGAUACCCCAGUAGUC